AAUAGCCUAACGGCUGAACCAGCAACUUGGAAGAAUGUAUAGCUAAAGCUAUAUGUUUUUUUGCAAAAAAAAAAACAUAUAUGAUUUAUUCGUAUAAAGUUCUAGAUAGAUUUUGAUAAUGACAUUAUCUAUCUAUUAGUCUUGACCAACAUGCGUGCCAGCAGUCGCGGCAAGACGCUAAAGACUAGUGUUAUUCAUCUUAAAUGGGUUUAAAGGGUACCUAGACGGUAAAUUAAGCUGAAAAGAACUGAUUUAACUAGAGUUAGAUGUAAGGGUGCAUUAAGGUACUGUUGAGUGUAGAGAUGAAAUUCUGUGAUACCAGAUUAUUGGCACCGGUUUAGGCGAAGGCAUCACCUUAUGUAAUAACUGACGUUGAGGGACGAAGGCUUUGUGUCGCUAAAAGGAUUAGAUACCCAAGUAGUCUAAGCAGAAAAUGAUGAAUGUCAUAGGUUAAAUAUUAUUUAGUCUAUAAAUGAAAGUGUAAGCAUUCCACCUCAAGAGUAAUUUGGCAACAUUGGAAUUGAAAUCAUUAGACCGUUUCUGAAACCAGUAGUGAAGUAUGUUGUUUAAUUAGAUGGUCCACAAAAAACCUUACCACAAUUUGAAUAUUUUACAAGCGCUGCACGGCUGUCUUCAGUUAAUGUCGUGAGAUUGUGGUUAGUUCCAUUAAAUUAACGUAAACCCUUACUUUAUUUUAUUUUAUAUAAAGUAGUUCGCCGUAAUAUUGGUUAGAUAAAAGGGAGUAAGACAAGUCAUCAUGGCCUUCAUAUUGU
rnacentral:rRNA from 1 species